rnacentral:rRNA from 1 species
CCUACGGGGGGCAGCAGUGGGGAAUAUUGGACAAUGGGCGCAAGCCUGAUCCAGCAAUGCCGCGUGAGUGAAGAAGGUCUUCGGAUUGUAAAGCUCUUUCGACGGGGAGGCGGUACCCGUAGAAGAAGCCCCGGCUAACUUCGUGCCAGCAGCCGCGGUAAUACGAAGGGGGCUAGCGUUGCUCGGAAUGACUGGGCGUAAAGGGCGCGUAGGCGGUGAACACAGUUAGGCGUGAAAUUCCCGGGCUCAACCUGGGGGCUGCGUUUAAUACAUGUUCGCUUGAGUUCGGAAGAGGGUCGUGGAAUUCCCAGUGUAGAGGUGAAAUUCGUAGAUAUUGGGAAGAACACCGGUGGCGAAGGCGGCGACCUGGUCGAACUGACGCUGAGGCGCGAAAGCGUGGGGAGCAAACAGGAUUAGAUACCCUUGUAGUC